rnacentral:rRNA from 1 species
UACGGGGGGGGCAAGCGUUGUUCGGAAUUACUGGGCGUAAAGGGCUUGUAGGUGGCCAACUAAGUCAGACGUGAAAUCCCUCGGCUUAACCGGGGAACUGCGUCUGAUACUGGAUGGCUUGAGUGUGGGAGAGGGAUGCGGAAUUCCAGGUGUAGCGGUGAAAUGCGCAGAUAUCGAGAGGAACACCAGUGGCGAAGGCGAGUCCCUGGACAACUCCUGACGCUGAGGCACGAAAGCUAGGGGAGCAAACAGG